rnacentral:rRNA from 1 species
AUACGGAGGGGGCAAGCGUUAAUCGGAAUUACUGGGCGUAAAGCGCGCGUAGGCGGAUAUUUAAGUCUCAUGUGAAAGCCCUGGGCUCAACCUGGGAACUGCAUGGGAUACUGGGUAUCUAGAAUACAGUAGAGGGUAGUGGAAUUUCAGGUGUAGCGGUGAAAUGCGUAGAGAUCUGAAGGAACAUCAGUGGCGAAGGCGACUACCUGGACUGAUAUUGACGCUGAGGUGCGAAAGCGUGGGGAGCAAACGGGAUUAGAAACCCUAGUAGUCC